GUUUGAUCCUGGCUCAGAUUGAACGCUGGCGGCAUGCCUUACACAUGCAAGUCGAACGGCAGCGCGUCCUUCGGGAUGGCGGCGAGUGGCGAACGGGUGAGUAAAGCAUCGGAACGUGCCCGGUAGUGCGGGAUAGCUCGGCGAAAGCCGGAUUAAUACCGCAUGAGAUCCGAGGAUGAAAGCAGGGGACUCGCAAGAGCCUUGCGCUACUGGAGCGGCCGAUGUCAGAUUAGGUAGUUGGUGAGGUAAAGGCUCACCAAGCCUGCGAUCUGUAGCUGGUCUGAGAGGAUGAUCAGCCACAUCGGGACUGAGACACGGCCCGAACUCCUACGGGAGGCAGCAGUGGGGAAUUUUGGACAAUGGGCGCAAGCCUGAUCCAGCCAUGCCGCGUGCAGGAUGAAGGCCCUCGGGUUGUAAACUGCUUUUGUACGGAACGAAAAGCUCCUCUCUAAUAAAGGGGGGUGAUGACGGUACCGUAAGAAUAAGCACCGGCUAACUACGUGCCAGCAGCCGCGGUAAUACGUAGGGUGCAAGCGUUANUCGGAAUUACUGGGCGUAAAGCGUGCGCAGGCGNUCUUGCAAGACAGUGGUGAAAUCCCCGGGCUCAACCUGGGAACUGCCAUUGUGACUGCAAGGCUGGAGUACGGCAGAGGGGGGUGGAAUUCCGCGUGUAGCAGUGAAAUGCGUAGAUAUGCGGAGGAACACCGAUGGCGAAGGCAGCCCCCUGGGCCUGUACUGACGCUCAUGCACGAAAGCGUGGGGAGCAAACAGGAUUAGAUACCCUGGUAGUCCACGCCCUAAACGAUGUCAACUGGUUGUUGGGGAUUCAUUUCUUCAGUAACGAAGCUAACGCGUGAAGUUGACCGCCUGGGGAGUACGGCCGCAAGGUUAAAACUCAAAGGAAUUGACGGGGACCCGCACAAGCGGUGGAUGAUGUGGUUUAAUUCGAUGCAACGCGAAAAACCUUACCCACCUUUGACAUGGCAGGAACCCUUUAGAGAUAGAGGGGUGCUCGAAAGAGAACCUGCACACAGGUGCUGCAUGGCUGUCGUCAGCUCGUGUCGUGAGAUGUUGGGUUAAGUCCCGCAACGAGCGCAACCCUUGCCAUCAGUUGCUACGAAAGGGCACUCUGAUGGGACUGCCGGUGACAAACCGGAGGAAGGUGGGGAUGACGUCAAGUCCUCAUGGCCCUUAUAGGUGGGGCUACACACGUCAUACAAUGGCCGGUACAAAGGGCAGCGAAGCCGCGAGGUGAAGCCAAUCCCAUAAAGCCGGUCGUAGUCCGGAUCGCAGUCUGCAACUCGACUGCGUGAAGUCGGAAUCGCUAGUAAUCGUGGAUCAGCAUGUCACGGUGAAUACGUUCCCGGGUCUUGUACACACCGCCCGU
rnacentral:rRNA from 1 species